UCUUCAAAUUUUUGAAAGGGAAAAAUAUAUCAAAUCCCUAUUUAUAUCCUUACAAAACACAGCAAGAAAUGCAAUAAAAAAAACUUCUUGCUCUACAAAAAUUAUAAUAAGGUUUUUUUCUUUGUCCAAAAAAAAUGGCUUCUAAGAUAUCUCUCAUUUGGCAACUGGUUGUGGUUUUAAUGGCUAUUUUAAGUUGUAGUGUUGCAGCAAGGCAUCGGGUUUCUACACCUCAAACUGCUUACAAGGACGCAGUGGGAAUCAAAAGCAUAAAGAAGGUUUUUAAGCCCGUUCCAAAGAAAGAUAAACCUAGGGGUGGAAAUUACUAAUCAAGUUGGAAAAAUAAUUAAAUACAUUGGAGGAUGUUAAGUUUUCAUAACAUUUUUACUUCAUAAUAAAUUAUCUUUUCGGUCAAAAUGACAUGUAGUUCAAUUCACAUAGCACUUGUCCUAAAAAAAAGUACUCUUGCCACACAUAUUACUCCAAUGAAUUCACUUGAAAAAAUAAUUCCUGCAAUCUCCCUUUUAGCUUUU